CCUACGGGUGGCAGCAGUGAGGAAUAUUGGUCAAUGGGCGCAAGCCUGAACCAGCCAAGUAGCGUGAAGGAUGACGGCCCUAUGGGUUGUAAACUUCUUUUAUAUGGGAAUAAAAUGCUGCAUGUAUGCUGUUUUGUAUGUACCUUAUGAUUAAGGAUCGGGUAACUCCGUGCCAGCAGCCGCGGUAAUACGGAGGAUCCGCGCGUUAUCCGGGUUUAUUGGGUUUAAAGGGCGCGUAGGUGGGUUGUUAAGUCUGUUGUGAAAGCUUCCGGCUGAACCGUAAAAUUGCAGUUGAGACUGGCAUGCUGGAGUACAGUAGAGGUGGGCGGAAUUCGUGGUGUAGCGGUGAAAUGCAUAGAGAUCACGAAGAACACCGAUUGCGAAGGCAGCCUACUGGACUGUAACUGACGCUGAUGCUCGAAAGUGUGGGUAUCAAACAGGAUUAGAUACCCGGGUAGUC
rnacentral:rRNA from 1 species